rfam:Neosartorya udagawae DNA, contig:Aud0161, strain: IFM 46973.
GGCAAGGUGGCCGAGUGGUUAAGGCGUUUGACUUGAAUAGGUUUGAGAAAAGGGGAAGGCUUUGCAUCUCCAUCUUAUAACCUCAAGAUCAUCAAAUUCAUUCGUGAUCCUGGGUUCAAAUCCCAGCCUUGUCG